AGAUUGAACGCUGGCGGCAGGCCUAACACAUGCAAGUCGAGCGGUAGAGAGGUGCUUGCAUCUCUUGAGAGCGGCGGACGGGUGAGUAAUGCCUAGGAAUCUGCCUAGUGGUGGGGGAUAACGUUCGGAAACGGACGCUAAUACCGCAUACGUCCUACGGGAGAAAGCGGGGGACCUUCGGGCCUCGCGCCAUUAGAUGAGCCUAGGUCGGAUUAGCUAGUUGGUGAGGUAAUGGCUCACCAAGGCGACGAUCCGUAACUGGUCUGAGAGGAUGAUCAGUCACACUGGAACUGAGACACGGUCCAGACUCCUACGGAGGCAGCAGUGGGGAAUAUUGGACAAUGGGCGAAAGCCUGAUCCAGCCAUGCCGCGUGUGUGAAGAAGGUCUUCGGAUUGUAAAAGCACUUUAAGUUGGAGGAAGGCAGUUACCUAAUACGUAUCUGUUUUGACGUUACGACAGAAUAAGCACCGGCUAACUCUGUGACAGCACG
rnacentral:rRNA from 1 species